rnacentral:lncRNA from 1 species
CUAUUGAUGAAGCUCUUGUUGGCACCAUAAAUUGGUUUUGCUUCACACUGUCUUGAUCAAGAGUGUGUGAAACUUUUGAGAAUUGUGGUUGAACUUCUUUAAUGAAGCUCUUGUUAGCACCAUAAAUUGGUUUUGCUUCACAUUGUCUUGAUCAAGAGUGUGUGAAGCUUUUGAGAAUUGUAGUGUUUGCAUUGUUACAGAGGGGAAAUGUUUGAAGCAGAUGCAAG